AAUAGAUACCCGGGUAGUCCCAGCCGUAAACGAUGCUCGCUAGGUGUCAGGCAUGGCGCGACCGUGUCUGGUGCCGCAGGGAAGCCGUGAAGCGAGCCACCUGGGAAGUACGGCCGCAAGGCUGAAACUUAAAGGAAUUGGCGGGGGAGCACAACAACGGGUGGAGCCUGCGGUUUAAUUGGACUCAACGCCGGACAACUCACCGGGGACGACAGCAAUAUGUAGGCCAGGCUAAAGACCUUGCCUGAAUCGCUGAGAGGAGGUGCAUGGCCGUCGCCAGUUCGUACUGUGAAGCAUCCUGUUAAGUCAGGCAACGAGCGAGACCCGUGCCCACUGUUACCAGCAUGUCCUCCGGGACGAUGGGUACUCUGUGGGGACCGCCGAUGUUAAAUCGGAGGAAGGUGCGGGCUACGGUAGGUCAGUAUGCCCCGAAUUUCCCGGGCUACACGCGGGCUACAAUGAAUGGGACAAUGGGUCCCUACCCCGAGAGGGGUUGGUAAUCUCCAAACCCAUCCGUAGUUCGGAUCGAGGCUGUAACUCGCCCU
rnacentral:rRNA from 1 species